AAAAAGGUAAGCUAAUUAAGCUAAUGGGUUCAUACCCCGCUUAUGGAAGUUCUAACCCUCCCCUUUUUA
rnacentral:tRNA from 1 species